GCUUCAUCAAUGAAGAUGCUAAACAUUAUUUAUUAUAUUGUAACAAUUUUUCAUCACAAAGGCUUUUAAUGAUAAAUGAAAUCAAUGUUUUUGCUGUCAAUAUUACAAUUGAGUUAUUGCUCUCUGGUGAUGAGUCUUUGAGUUCUGAAGAAAAUGAUAGUGUUUUUCUAUCUGUACAAAAGUAUAUAAAAAGUACCAAGCGUUUUUCUCAACUUUGACAACCUUAUUCUGUAACAGAUCUUACUAGAACAUGAUCAAUGUAUGCUCUGGUAUUGGGUAGAUAAUCGAAUGAUCUUUAUGAUUGACUUUUGUAUUCUGAAACGUUUCAAUGGAUUUAAGUAAAAAAAACAAAAUUAAUACUUACAAUUACAUGUAGAUUUAUUCUGUUUUCCUGUUAAUCCG
rnacentral:lncRNA from 1 species